GAGGGUAUAGCUCAGUGGCAGAGCGCAUGCUUAGCAUGCACGAAGUCCUGGGUUCAAUCCUCAGUACCUCCA
rnacentral:tRNA from 1 species